AGAGUUUGAUCAUGGCUCAGGACGAACGCUGGCGGCAUGCCUAAUACAUGCAAGUCGAGCGAACAGAUGAAGUGCUUGCACUUCUGACGUUAGCGGCGAACGGGUGAGUAACACGUAAGGAAUCUACCUAUAAGCGGGGGAUAACAUUCGGAAACGGGUGCUAAUACCGCAUAAUAUCUUCUUCCGCAUGGAAGAAGAUUGAAAGACGGCUCUGCUGUCACUUAUAGAUGACCUUGCGGUGCAUUAGUUAGUUGGUGGGGUAACGGCCUACCAAGACGAUGAUGCAUAGCCGACCUGAGAGGGUGAUCGGCCACAUUGGGACUGAGACACGGCCCAAACUCCUACGGGAGGCAGCAGUAGGGAAUCUUCCGCAAUGGGCGAAAGCCUGACGGAGCAAUGCCGCGUGAGUGAAGAAGACCUUCGGGUCGUAAAACUCUGUUAUAAGAGAAGAACAAAUUGUAGAGUAACUGCUACAGUCUUGACGGUAUCUUAUCAGAAAGCCACGGCUAACUACGUGCCAGCAGCCGCGGUAAUACGUAGGUGGCAAGCGUUGUCCGGAUUUAUUGGGCGUAAAGGGAGCGCAGGUGGUUUCUUAAGUCUGAUGUGAAAGCCCACGGCUUAACCGUGGAGGGUCAUUGGAAACUGGGAAACUUGAGUACAGAAGAGGAAUGUGGAACUCCAUGUGUAGCGGUGGAAUGCGUAGAUAUAUGGAAGAACACCAGUGGCGAAGGCGACAUUCUGGUCUGUUACUGACACUGAGGCUCGAAAGCGUGGGGAGCAAACAGGAUUAGAUACCCUGGUAGUCCACGCCGUAAACGAUGAGUGCUAGGUGUUGGAGGGUUUCCGCCCUUCAGUGCCGCAGUUAACGCAUUAAGCACUCCGCCUGGGGAGUACGACCGCAAGGUUGAAACUCAAAGGAAUUGACGG
rnacentral:rRNA from 1 species